CAGGGGCUGGAUGAGCGCGGGCGCGAUCUUCGCGUCGGUCGCCAUGAAGCCCAGCAUGGUCGCCAUGUUGGGCCGGAUCAUUCCGGCGCCCUUGC
rnacentral:tRNA from 1 species